CCGGGUUUUAUACUUAAGCGUCCUCUAGUAACGGCUAUUAGCCUUAUCCUUAUCAGAAUAACAUUUCGGCUCCUAAAUGUGGUUUACAAAUUUUACCCACCACCACCCCUUCAAUCCUCCAUAAUUAUUGUUAUUGUAGAAAAUACAUGUACUAGUUUCUUUUAUAUAAGGUGCCUAUUGUUAUUGCAUGACUUUUGUACUUAUUGUUAAUUUUGUAGAAAAUAUAUGUACUAGUUUUCUUUUGUAUAAGGUGUGGGAUGUUUUUGGGCCCCACCUUCUGCUGCAUUCUGAUAUUGUAAAAUCUGUAAUCUCAUUUGGCAUUUGUAAUAAAUGCUCUAUACACACACA